GGACGAUUAGCUCAGCGGGAGAGCGCUUCCCUGACACGGAAGAGGUCACAGGUUCAAUCCCUGUAUCGUCCAC
rnacentral:tRNA from 2 species